rnacentral:rRNA from 1 species
UACGAGGGGGGCAAGUGUUGUUCGGAAUCACUGGGCGUAAAGGGAGCGUAGGCGGGUGCUUAAGUUGGAUGUUUAAAACCGGGGCCCAACCCCGGCGUGGCAUUCAAAACUGGGCAUCUUGAAUGGGACAGAGGCUGGUGGAAUUGGGGGUGUAGCGGUGGAAUGCGUAGAGAUCCCCAAGAACACCUGUUGCGAAGGCGGCCAGCUGGGUCCACAUUGACGCUGAGGCUCGAAAGCGUGGGGAGCAAACAGG